GGCCAGAAGAGGAAAGACUGGCUGAGAAGCCGGAAGCGGAGGGCCAGGGACCUGGCAUUUAUCAAGCCCUGCCGGUGCCAGGCACUGUGCUGGCUGCUGGGUCUGAAGAAGGCAGAGAUGGAGAUGAACGAAGCAGUGAGUGAUACAGGCUUGAGAG